UUUUUAUAUUAUACAAUAAUACAACUUAUAUUAAACAAGAAUAUCUACUAUAAAAGAAAUUCAAUUUCAGUUGAAUUAAUCUGUUUCCCCAAUACAUUCCAAAAUAUUGUUUUAACAUAAAAUCAAUAUAAAAAGGUAUCGCUGAGACAUAGUACAUUCUGUUUUUAUACUAUGUCCUUGAAAUCUGGUUUGUAUUUUACAGUUACUACCAUACUAAAACUUGCAAAAGUUUUUGAUUCCAGACCACAAUAAUGG
rnacentral:lncRNA from 1 species